rnacentral:rRNA from 1 species
CGUAACAAGGUCUCCGUUGGUGAACCAGCGGAGGGAUCAUUACCGAGUUUACAACUCCCAAACCCCUGUGAACAUACCACUUGUUGCCUCGGCGGAUCAGCCCGCUCCCGGUAAAACGGGACGGCCCGCCAGAGGACCCCUAAACUCUGUUUCUAUAUGUAACUUCUGAGUAAAACCAUAAAUAAAUCAAAACUUUCAACAACGGAUCUCUUGGUUCUGGCAUCGAUGAAGAACGCAGCAAAAUGCGAUAAGUAAUGUGAAUUGCAGAAUUCAGUGAAUCAUCGAAUCUUUAAACGCACAUUGCGCCCGCCAGUAUUCUGGCGGGCAUGCCUGUUCGAGCGUCAUCUCAACCCUCAAGCCCUCGGGUUUGGUGUUGGGGAUCGGCGAGCCCUUGCGGCAAGCCGGCCCCGAAAUCUAGUGGCGGUCUCGCUGUAGCCUCCAUUGCGUAGUAGUAAAACCCUCGCAACUGGAACGCGGCGCGGCCAAGCCGUUAAACCCCCAACUUCUGAAUGUUGACCUCGGAUCAGGUAGGAAUACCCGCUGAACUUAAGC